rnacentral:rRNA from 1 species
UACAGAGGCCCCAAGCGUUAGGCGGAAUCACUGGGCUUAAAGCGUGUGUAGGCGGGUUGGUAAGUAACUUUGUGAAAUCCCACGGCUCAAACUGUGGGAAUUCUUGGAUACUGCCCGAUUCUUGAGCAUUUAGGGGCAGCCGGGAACAGAUGGUGGAGCGGUGAAAUGCGUGAGAUAUCAUCUGGAACGCCAAUGGUGCAGACAGGCUGCUGGGAAUGAACUGACGCU